GGGGGGCCGCCCUUAUCAUGCAAGUCGAACGAAGUAGCAAUACUUAGUGGCAGACGGGUGAGUAACAUGUGGGUAUCUUCCCUAUGGUGAGGAAUAACACGAGGAAACUUGUGCUAAUACCUCAUAAGUCUUUACGGAGAAAGCUUUAUGCGCCAUUGGAUGAGCCCGCACUUGAUUAGUUUGUUGGUAGGGUAACGGCCUACCAAGACUGUGAUCAAUAGCUGAUUUGAGAGGAUGAUCAGCCACAUUGGGACUGAGACACGGCCCAAACUCCUACGGGAGGCAGCAGUAAGGAAUCUUGCACAAUGGAGGAAACUCUGAUGCAGCGAUGCCGCGUGAGUGAAGAAGGCCCUUGGGUUGUAAAGCUCUUUCGUCGGGGAAGAAAAUGACUGUACCCGAAUAAGAAGGUCCGGCUAACUUCGUGCCAGCAGCCGCGGUAAUACGAAGGGACCUAGCGUAGUUCGGAAUUACUGGGCUUAAAGAGUUCGUAGGUGGUUAAAAAAGUUGGUGGUGAAAUCCCAGAGCUUAACUCUGGAACUGCCAUCAAAGCUUUUUAGCUAGAGUAUGAUAGAGGAAAGCAGAAUUUCUAGUGUAGAGGUGAAAUUCGUAGAUAUUAGAAAGAAUACCAAUUGCGAAGGCAGCUUUCUGGAUCAUUACUGACACUGAGGAACGAAAGCAUGGGUAGCGAAGAGGAUUAGAUACCCUCGUAGUCCAUGCCGUAAACGAUGUGUGUUAGACGUUGGAAAAUUUAUUUUCAGUGUCGCAGCGAAAGCGAUAAA
rnacentral:rRNA from 1 species